GUAACAGCUAAUUAUAAAGUUUAUUGGCGUCCCUUAGGUCAAGAGAAAUUUGAAUCAUGGUGUACAAGUACAUGUAUAAGUUCAAGUUUUAUCACAUAAGAGAAGACAAAGAUACCAUAUUGUAUUGAUUUAUGUAUUAACAAACAUUUCAUAUGAUAAACAUGUAAAAAAAACAACCUGUUACUGUAUUUAUAAAGCUUUGUUACUGCUAUGUAGACUUGCAGUUUUCCAUUAUCGUGAUUGUGUUAGGUAGACUAAAGCUUCAAAUCUAAGUACUUCUAAUAUCUUUCUUUGUUGAAUUUGCACGUGUUAUUCUCUGAUUAAUGACAGUAAUUUGUUGUUGGUAAUGUCUCUGGUGCUACCAAUCAGUUAUCUUGAGAUGCCUCUUUUUCAAAUAGAUCGCCCUUCUGUACAUAUCAUUUACUUCCAAUGCAUAACACAUUCCACUGAUGUUACCAUAGCACCGCUCCUGUAUAUCUCACUGUUAUCACCCAUAAAGUGGACAGAAAAAUGGAGCUUUUUAAAGAUUUGACAAAAUCUGGUUGUGGUGAGAAUUUGUGAACGGCUAGGUUGUUUAACUUUGUCAGAAAUGAGCAUAGCUGUAUUCUAAUUCCUACUAAUAUGAUGAGUAUUUAUUAAUAUGAAAAAUUGGAAGUAUAUUCAGAAUUGUGUAUUCAAAGGUAAUAUUCAAUGUUAUAUUUACUAGAUGUAUGCUUUCUAGAGACAGAAAAUUAGUUUUCGCCAUCGUUUGUCAUAUUCAUCCUCAUGUUAUAUUCCAAAUAUUUUAUCAUGUGUAUACAUUUAUCUGAAAGUUAUUUUCUUUUUGCAAAAAAAAAAAAUCAUUAUAAUUACUACAGAUUGUUGGAAGAUGAAAUGAAAAUGAUGAAGAAAUAAAUAUUCCAAUCAGG
rnacentral:misc_RNA from 1 species